GACGAACGCUGGCGGCGUGCCUAACACAUGCAAGUCGAACGAGGUCCAUGCAGUGGCAACACUGCGGAAGACCUAGUGGCGAACGGGUGAGUAACACGUGAGGAACUUGCCCCGGAGACCGGGAUAAGCCCCCGAAAGGGGGUCUAAUACCGGAUGUCCUCACCGAGUCGCAUGGCUUGGUGAGGAAAUGGAUUCCGCUCCGGGAGAGCCUCGCGGCCUAUCAGCUAGUUGGUGGGGUAACGGCCCACCAAGGCAUCGACGGGUAGCUGGUCUGAGAGGACGAUCAGCCACACUGGGACUGAGACACGGCCCAGACUCCUACGGGAGGCAGCAGUGGGGAAUCUUGCGCAAUGGGCGAAAGCCUGACGCAGCAACGCCGCGUGCGGGAUGACGGCCCUCGGGUUGUAAACCGCUUUCAGUGGGGACGAACCAAGACGGUACCCACAGAAGAAGGUCCGGCCAACUACGUGCCAGCAGCCGCGGUAACACGUAGGGACCAAGCGUUGUCCGGAUUCAUUGGGCGUAAAGAGCUCGUAGGCGGUUCGAUAAGUCGGGUGUGAAACCUCCAGGCUCAACCUGGAGACGCCACCCGAUACUGUCGUGACUAGAGUCCAGUAGGGGAGCGUGGAAUUCCUGGUGUAGCGGUGAAAUGCGCAGAUAUCAGGAGGAACACCAGCGGCGAAGGCGGCGCUCUGGGCUGGAACUGACGCUGAGGAGCGAAAGCGUGGGGAGCGAACAGGAUUAGAUACCCUGGUAGUCCACGCCGUAAACGUUGGGUACUAGGUGUGGGGUCUUAUCAACGGAUUCCGUGCCGAAGCUAACGCAUUAAGUACCC
rnacentral:rRNA from 1 species